AGGAAAUGGAGCGAUCAUUUUACCGAAAAAAGGAGAAGCUGGCGCAACUAUUGUCUCUAAAUGAAAGUAUAAUCUUGAUGUUUGUGGAAAGAGAAGACAGACAGUUAACACAGACCUGCUCCAAAUGGCAUAACCUUUUGAGCUUUGGCUAUGAAACUUAAGUGUGUGUGCUGAAUUCAUGUUAAUAAAUACGUUUGACUG